rnacentral:rRNA from 1 species
GUGAACGCUGGCGGUAGGCCUAACACAUGCCAGUCGAACGGCAGCACAGUAAGAGCUUGCUCUUACGGGUGGCGAGUGGCGGACGGGUGAGGAAUACAUCGGAAUCUACUUUUUCGUGGGGGAUAACGUAGGGAAACUUACGCUAAUACCGCAUACGACCUACGGGUGAAAGCAGGGGAUCUUCGGACCUUGCGCGAUUGAAUGAGCCGAUGUCGGAUUAGCUAGUUGGCGGGGUAAAGGCCCACCAAGGCGACGAUCCGUAGCUGGUCUGAGAGGAUGAUCAGCCACACUGGAACUGAGACACGGUCCAGACUCCUACGGGAGGCAGAAGUGGGGAAUAUUGGACAAUGGGCGCAAGCCUGAUCCAGCCAUACCGCGCGGGUGAAGAAGGCCUGCGGGUUGUAAAGCCCUUUUGUUGGGAAAGAAAAGCAGCAGGUUAAUACCCCGCUGUUCUGACGGUACCCAAAGAAUAAGCACCGGCUAACUGCGU